UACGGAGGGAGCUAGCGUUGUUCGGAAUUAUUGGGCGUAAAGAGCUCGUAGGCGGUUUGUCGCGUCUGCUGUGAAAGACCGGGGCUCAACUCCGGUUCUGCAGUGGGUACGGGCAGACUAGAGUGCAGUAGGGGAGACUGGAAUUCCUGGUGUAGCGGUGAAAUGCGCAGAUAUCAGGAGGAACACCGAUGGCGAAGGCAGGUCUCUGGGCUGUAACUGACGCUGAGGAGCGAAAGCAUGGGGAGCGAACAGG
rnacentral:rRNA from 1 species